GAAAAAAUCACUUAUCAUGAUUAUCUUCAUGAUAAUUUUGGCAGAAUUUCGUUUCAAAAUCGGGAAAUUUGCGAAACUAAACUAGCCCCAAAAAAUUGAGAGGGAAUUACUUUGAUUUCAUCAAUUAUUCCCUCCCCGAUUUUGUGAAAUACUCCGUAUGUGGUGAUUUAUCCCUUGUCUAUCUUUCUUUAUCAAAUUUUCCUCCCGUAAUUUUACCCUAAGCAAUUUCAAAAAACAAUCUUACUGAACUCUGGACGAGCGAAGGGAGACGAAUUAAAAUAGCGUUUGGAGUUUGUGGCCGAUCGAACUUGAUUGGUCAGAGUACAUAUCACUAUCCAAGUGCUGAUAUGUCUAGAUCGGGUGGAAAAGCACAUUCAAAGUAUGAUUACAUAAGCCAAAAUGAGUAUGAACAACAAAGUCUCAAGACAAUUGAAACUAACAAGAUUAGAAUGAAGACAUUGGGCAUAAAGCGCAUUACUGCCUGUUUGACAAGCUUAGUAAGUAGUUCGAAAGUUAAGAAAAGUAAGCAGAAGUACAAUGUUUCCCUUGAGAAAGAUGGUGAUUAUGUACCCGAGGAAAAUGAGGAAGUUGAGUUCGAGCAAGAAACUCACAAUGUGACUUCAAAUAAAAAGAGAUUAUACAAUGAAGAUGGCUAGAGAUCGUAUUGGAAGAAAUUGAAGAAAAUAAUGUCUUUUUUUCAAGCUAAGCUUAGAGUUUUAAUGAAAACUCUUUGUUAUUUCACUUUAUCAAAUGUUUAUAACAAGUCAUGUAAUUGUAUUGAAGCUAGCUAAGUUAUUUAGUAAUAACUUAAUUACAUUUUUUAGAUCAAUAAUGUAAUGACUAUUCUAUUAUAAAUAAAAAAAAUUUAGUUUAAUUUAA